AAGUGCUAGGAGCAUCCUUCAAUGGAGGUACUCAGUCGGGGUGCCAGGUGAUCCGUUACACCCACAAAAUAUUGGGACAUAUAAAAAAGACAACUCUGUUCCGCAGAGUAGCUGUUGACAUUAUAGUUGUGCAGGCACUUUGUUGACUCUAGAGAACCUCGGACCAAUCGCACAUCCCUGUGACGGAGACUUUGCAUUUGGAUGUCAUCCAUAUCAACUUUUGAUGCCAGUUUCUGUGCCUACCAUGGUGACCAUGGGUAACGGGUAAUCAGGGUUCCAUUCCG